AGCGGAUUGAUGGGAGCUUGCUCCCUGAUAUCAGCGGCGGACGGGUGAGUAACACGUGGGUAACCUGCCUGUAAGAUCGGGAUAACUCCGGGAAACCGGGGCUAAUACCGGAUAAUUCAUUCCCUCGCAUGAGGGAAUGUUGAAAGGUGGCUUUUAGCUACCACUUACAGAUGGACCCGCGGCGCAUUAGCUAGUUGGUGAGGUAACGGCUCACCAAGGCGACGAUGCGUAGCCGACCUGAGAGGGUGAUCGGCCACACUGGGACUGAGACACGGCCCAGACUCCUACGGGAGGCAGCAGUAGGGAAUCUUCCGCAAUGGACGAAAGUCUGACGGAGCAACGCCGCGUGAGUGAUGAAGGUUUUCGGAUCGUAAAGCUCUGUUGUUAGGGAAGAACAAGUGCCGUUCGAAUAGGGCGGCACCUUGACGGUACCUAACCAGAAAGCCACGGCUAACUACGUGCCAGCAGCCGCGGUAAUACGUAGGUGGCAAGCGUUGUCCGGAAUUAUUGGGCGUAAAGCGCGCGCAGGUGGUUCCUUAAGUCUGAUGUGAAAGCCCACGGCUCAACCGUGGAGGGUCAUUGGAAACUGGGGAACUUGAGUGCAGAAGAGGAAAGUGGAAUUCCAAGUGUAGCGGUGAAAUGCGUAGAUAUUUGGAGGAACACCAGUGGCGAAGGCGACUUUCUGGUCUGUAACUGACACUGAGGCGCGAAAGCGUGGGGAGCAAACAGGAUUAGAUACC
rnacentral:rRNA from 2 species